rnacentral:tRNA from 1 species
GAGGAUGUAGCUUAGUGGUAGAGUGGUUGCCUAGCAUAUAGGAUGCCCUGCGUUUGAUUCCCAGCAUCAUUA